rnacentral:SRP_RNA from 1 species
GGUUCCCCGCAGCGAACACCCGUGAACCCCGCCAGGCCCGGAAGGGAGCAACGGUAGCGGCGACUUCGCGUGCCGGGGGUCGGCUGG